AUUGAUCGAUGGCGGCAGGCUUAAAACAUGCAAGUCGAGCGAGGUGAUGGUGCUUGCACUAUCACUUAGCGGCGGACGGGUGAGUAAUGCUUAGGAAUCUGCCUAUUAGUGGGGAACUACAUCACGAGAGUGAUGCUAAUACCGCAUACGUCCUACGGGAGAAAGCAGGGGAUCACUUCUGACAUUGCGCUAACAGAUGAGCCUAAGUCGGAUUAGCUAGUUGGUGGGGUAAAGGCCUCCCAGGGCGACGAUCUGUAGCGGGUCUGAGAGGCUGAUCCGCCACACUGGGACGGAGACACGGCCCAGACUCCUACGGGAGGCAGCAGUUGGGAAUAUUGGACAAUGGUGUGAACCCUGAUCCAGCCAUGCCGCGUGUGUGAAGAAGGCCUUAUGGUUGUAAAGCACUUUAAGCGAGGAGGAGGCUCUUUUGGUUAAUACCCAAGAUGAGUGGACGUUACUCGCAGAAUAAGCACCGGCUAACUCUGUGCCAGCCGCCGCCGUAA
rnacentral:rRNA from 1 species